AACGUAGGACGCAAGCGUUAUCCGGAGUUACUGGGCGUAAAGCGUGCGCAGGCGGCUUCGCAAGUCAGGCGUGAAAUCCCCGGGCUUAACCUGGGAAUUGCGCUUGAAACUACGGUGCUGGAGUGCGGCAGAGGAAGGUGGAAUUCCACGUGUAGCGGUGAAAUGCGUAGAGAUGUGGAGGAACACCAAUGGCGAAGGCAGCCUUCUGGGUCGACACUGACGCUCAUGCACGAAAGCGUGGGGAGCAAACAGG
rnacentral:rRNA from 1 species